GACACGUUGCUCACAGCCUCUCUUCUGGCCCCUGGAGAGAGCUUGGUGUGAAUGAUGUCCAGGGCCUAACAAAGCAAGGGUGCUCCAACAACUGUGGCGUGUUUGUUUUGAUGGAAAACAUGCUGCAAAUGAGGAGAUGGUGGUGUCUCGCUCUCCUGCAGAACUUCCCCAUGCCGUCUGAAGAAGACCGAUUGCAGGACAGAAAACGGCGACGAGUGCAAGGAGGGCUACAGGUGAGAGGUCAUGUGAUUAAUUAGUCUUGUAGUCAACUAUUGCUAGACUAAAGCGUAAUUCCUCCACUUAUUUCAAUUACCUUAGUUUUACAUCUUGCAUUGUUAUUGUGCCUAUAAG